UACAGAGGGGGCAAGCGUUGUUCGGAAUUACUGGGCGUAAAGGGCGCGUAGGCGCCUUCUAAGUCGAACGUGAAAUCCCUGGGCUCAACCCAGGAACUGCGUCCGAUACUGAUCGACUUGAAGGCAGGAGAGGGAAGCGGAAUUCCCGGUGUAGUGGUGAAAUGCGUAGAUAUCGGGAGGAACACCAGUGGCGAAGGCGGCUUCCUGGCCUGUUCUUGACGCUGAGGCGCGAAAGCUAGGGGAGCAAACGGG
rnacentral:rRNA from 1 species